rnacentral:misc_RNA from 1 species
UAAAAAUCAUUUUAAAUAUAUGUAAAGUUUACAUUUAUUCAUUACAUAUUUUAAGUGACUGGAACUCCUGCCACCGGUGAAGAGCCUACGGAAGCACCCGAACCCACGGAACAACCGGAAUCCAACGUCAAACCGGUAGUUUCCGGCGCUAAUGCUGCUGGUGGAUCUCAGGCUGGUGCGUCAUCAGGCACAGGGGGCGCUGUAAUUCAACCAUCCGCUACCGGAAACCUAGAAACAACAGAACCCCCAGAACCGACUGAAGCUCCAGAGCCCGCUACUGGUGGAGAAGGAGUGGAAGCUGGGACCGGCGGGGCAGAAGCAGGUGGGGCAGAAGCUGGCGGGACAGAAGCUGGAACAGGUGGGACAGAAGCUGGCGGGGCAGAAGCUGGGACCGCUGGUGCGGAAGCAGGUUCCCCAUAAACAAGCAAAAAUAAUUAGGCGUGAUAAUAACAAUCAUUACGGACGUCACACAAUUAAGGCAAUUCUUCAUCGUACAAGAUUAACUGACAAAGAUACGCCCUGACAAAUAUAUUACAUUUACAUGUACAUUGUAUAUCGUUUGUCAUUUCUCAGUUCAGUGUUUUCUGUUUAUAAUUUUAUUGCAUGUGUUUUAAUUUGCAUUUGUGUCAUUGUAUAUAUUUUAUAUAAUGAAUAAAUGACACUUUAAGCUACC